rnacentral:rRNA from 1 species
GAAAGCGUAACAGCUCACUGGUCGAGUGGGUCUGCGCCGAAAAUGUAACGGGGCUAAAGUAUAGUACCGAAGCUGUGGAUCAAGAAACUAUUUAUAGUUUUUUGGUGGUAGAAGAGCGUUGUGCCAUCAGUGAAUCAAUAUCGUGAGGUAUUGUGGAGAUCGCACAAGUGACCAUGCUGACAUGAGUAGCGAUAAAGCGGGUGAGAGGCCCGCUCGCCGUAAGCCCAAGGUUUCCUGAGUAAAGCUAAUCUGCUCAGGGUUAGUCG